UCAGGACGAACGCUGGCGGCGUGCUUAACACAUGCAAGUCGAACGAGGAUAUACCAGAGGAGAGCUUCGGCAGGAAUCGGGUAUAUUCGAGUGGCGGACGGGUGAGUAACGCGUGAGCAACCUGUCCCAGACAGGGGGAUAACACUUGGAAACAGGUGCUAAUACCGCAUAAGACCACGGUAUCACAUGGUAGUGGGGUAAAAGGAGCAAUCCGGUUUGGGGUGGGCUCGCGUCCGAUUAGAUAGUUGGUGAGGUAACGGCCCACCAAGUCGACGAUCGGUAGCCGACCUGAGAGGGUGAUCGGCCACAUUGGAACUGAGAGACGGUCCAAACUCCUACGGGAGGCAGCAGUGGGGAAUAUUGGGCAAUGGGCGAAAGCCUGAACCCCCAGCAACGCCGCGUGAGUGAAGAAGGCCUUCGGGUUGUAAAGCUCUGUUAUAGUUGACGAAGGAAGUGACGGUAGGCUAUAAGGAAGCCCCGGCUAACUACGUGCCAGCCGCUGC
rnacentral:rRNA from 1 species